rnacentral:lncRNA from 1 species
GUUUCAAACAGAAUACCACAAACAGCAGGCAUUCCUUUAGAAAUAAACAGGGAUUCUUAAUUCUGCAACAUUUAGACAGAGGGGGGGGGGUUACAGUUAGACCCCCUACAGUCAGCAGAAGAGGUCAUCCUUAUCAAGAGCAUCUCAAUUGUACUGCCAUAGUUUUCAAUACAAACAGUCUCCUUUAUCUUAUGCCAGGUCCAUCGGAGCCACCAUAGCUUUUUCACCUUUUAUCAUACCAUUACACUUUCUACUGACCAUCCUCCAAACAGGCAUCGCCUUUUGUUUACACCUUUAUCUCUGCAUCUCAGAGGCCAGCUGGAAACAAGCCCCACACCUAUAUAAAAAAACGCCCUAAUCAAACACCCUGUAUUUUUCCUCACUACUUUACAUCGGUCAUUGAGAGCAUAACACUUCGUUCACCAGCAAGGACAACAACCCUAAGAGCGUUCUUUUUAACAUGGACAGCAUAUAUGGUAGGUAAAACAAGACUAUUAACGGAUUCUUAAAUUUAUACAAUUGCAUAUCAAAAAAUAUUCAAACUGUUUUCUCUUCUAAACAAAAGCCUGAUUUUUAGGAACUUGGUACACUGGGACACCCCACGCGGCACUUACACAAGGAUCACAAAGCUAUAUAGGGCAAACAACACCUCUAACUAAGGAGUGCAGGAUGACGUCGGCAUCAACCAUGACGAACAGCCAGAACAUCGCCCAAGCCACAGAAGCUCUAGAGCGAGACAUGCAAGCGUGGGACCUCUCAGACUCCCCACCGCCUGCGCUGCUAAUCCAGACCCCACCACAUCCUCCCCCCUCUCCUCAGCUGCUGCAGGAUCCUACAGGAUCGGGUCUGUGUGAGGAAACCAUUAUCGACAUCAAGCUUGCAACCCAUCACCUGGUGAUGUUGGCAUUAAACGCCUUUCUACAGGAAACAUGCGGGUGUCGAACAGCUCAACCCAGUCAGGUGCAACACAGUUGUUUGCUCGAACUGCCCGAGUAUUACUUUGACACCUACUACGACGAUGUGAUGCUGAGGCUCAAGACAUUCCGAUUCAUCCCUGCCAUUCGCCUGUUUGUACGCUCGUACACAGUCGAUGGGACUAAAACACAAUUCAGCAGAAUUGCAGAACACACCAUGACUGAACUGAGAUCAUCACAACAUAUAGUAUGCGCAAUUAACGACAAUAUUGCACAGCUGCUAGAAGCAAGUCGUUAUGCCCGUCGUGUUAAACCAGCCAUGCUUCGCAUGAUUGGUAACUACUGGGCUGGGAGACACCUGGUUUAAUGUAUGUUGUUCAGUAUUCAUUGUCUGUGUGAAUGAAAUAAAAAGACAUGUCAACACCGACACCUUAGUCAUUUGCGGUCGACUUUGCUUAUACAAUGGAGAAAAGCAACAAUACAGCGUGUUUCUCUGCUCCAAGACAUCGGUGGGGCCUUUCACACGGUAAGCAUGUCUGUUAUACCCAGCGCAUAAAUGUCUGUAUGUCAGUGCUGAUUAUACAAACACUGUUUAAAAUGUGACACAUAUGUUGUCCGAAAACAAAUCCUCUAAAUUUGCAAAGUUACUGAUUUAAAAAUAUAUUUUCGAAUUUUUAGUUGCAUGACAAACAUACGAUAGACUCUUGAGCGUAUUUAUUUAUAUAGCUACAUUCACAAUGGUAUAGACGUGCUAAAUAAAAGAGGCUCAAGCACCAAAACACUCUAAUGCAAGCCUCUAAACUGUAUGUUGAUAAGUGCAUAAAGUGUACCUCUACCUCUACAGCUGAAAACAGUUUGUAUCCGCACUCUGAGGCUCUGCUGAAUUGUUUUUAAUAUUGCGCUUUUUCACGAACUGCAGAUGAUGAAUUUCUCUUUAUUGGACAUAGUGUCCUUAAGCUAUUGUUGCUCAUACUCACUGAGUUCCCUAGCUACUUCUUUACUAUGUCAGUAAACUUUUUGAAAAGGAAGGCGUUGUAGAUUUAAAGAAACAUCCUAAUUGAAGCAAAGGCAAAAAAUCGGAAUGAAUUUUAUGUGACUGUUCAUAUUAAAGCCAACAACAAGUGAAAAUCCAAAACCGGCUCCAAUCCUUUGUAUUAAUGAUCUCCCCCUCUCUCUCUCUCUCUCUCUCUGUGUGUGUGUGUGUGUGUGUGUGUGUGCCCUCACAGAAGGAAGGACACAGCAGGAGCUUUUCAAACGCGUUUCCAAUCAUUUUUUACAAGAAGUGUAGCUCAUACGAUGGUAUAAAUGUAUUAUUUGUGAUACUUUAUAAAUAUGAAACUCUAAAGAUUUUGAGUUCAUGCAAAUUGUGAAACAAGAAUCUAAAUAUUUUGUGUCACAAUGAUUUCUAUAAAAGCAUGUUGUUUAUGGGGAUAAUGUAACAAAUCUUUUGCGGGCCCUAUUAAUGAUCAAUGGUGAUUGAAGAGGAAGCUUGAACCCAGGCUCCGGACAUCUUCAUGACAAGUGACAGCGCAGACAUCUGCUAAUGAGAGAACAUGUUUUAUCAUCAUAAACACGGUGAUAUGAAGCAUCGUUAAAGUGUCACUUCAGUAAUGUUUUAAUAGAUGUCUUUAAAACACUAAACUCUAAUUUCUGGGGCUUUAUUUUAAGCUUACAGAAUAUAACAUGUUGUAAGACGACGAGUUUUACUUCUCACAGGUUGUGUUAUGUGUAUCUAUUUAUCAUGUAUGCUACUUUGCUCUGUGGACUGUAAAAUGUUUCAUUGUGUUCAUAAAAUAAACCAAACUUUCGCCGUCUGAAUCUUUUACUGUUUUUCUGCUUUUGUUCACACCAAGUUUGACAAACCCACAGACAUCCAGAGUUAACUCGCUAACAAUGUGGAGCAGUCUCAGCGUAUUUAGCUGCUUUUUCCCUAAACACAACCAACUGAGAGAAACGCUUGUAGUCCUCACUUUGGUCAUUUGAACGCUGAAGGAGAUUUGCUACAUAGACACCUUAUACUAGUGUUUCCUGCACUUAAUCCAUCACUACUAUGUUCUAUUUAAAUUCAGAUUCCUUUUAUAGUUUGCAGUGAAAUUUCUUAAACCGCUGCUUAAUGUGACAGAAGUACACGUCACUCUUUACUAACACAUUUGUAGAUAAGUUAUUGCUGAACCACACAGCCAGCAGGCUCACACACUCUUUAGGUUUUUGAAGGUUUGUGUGUAAUGGUUUUAGUCUAUCAAACCUUAUCCUUUUCUCCCCAGUAUCACAACAGUAUGACUCCAAAGUACGGAUCAGUAAACAAUCAAUGAUUCUAAAGCCAGAACAGAAAGAUACAGUUGGAAGAUGCAUGAUUGCGUUUUUAUGAAGCGUAGUAAAACUGGCCCCUCUUCUUCUUCUCUGUGUUGUUGUUGUUGUUCUUGUGUGUGUGUGUGUGUGUGUGUGUGUGUGCGCCUUAGAAGUCAAAUAAUACAUUAGCCACACUUAAAAAAACAAAAACAUUUGAAUUUCAUUUAGAACUGAGAUUCUAAGUUGUAAGCAGAAAUCUUGUGCUCAGCCACAAACA